UGAUGGAGGCUAUUUGAGUGUGAAAAACCAUACAGUUAGCCAUUGUUAGUUACCGUUAGCAGCUAACUAGCGUUGCCUAGAUAACGUCAAUCAACCAAGUCCUGUCUCCAACGCGAAUUAAAGACUACAUGGGGAACGGGGCAGAACGACAGAUUUUUACCUCGUCAGCUUGGGGGAUCCAAUCUUGCAACCUUACAGUUAACUAGACCAACGCUCUAACCACCUGAUUACAUUGUACUCCACGAGGAGCCUGGCUGUUACGCGAAUGCAGUAAGCCAAGAUGGCAGAGAAAAGCAGAGCACCAGUGUGGGACUAUUACAUGGAAUUGACACCUGGGAAAGCAAGGUGUCUUAUUUGUGAUAAAGAUGUAAGCAUGGGGUCAGCAACGGCUAAUCAAAAAAUACCACCAACCUGUGGAAUCACCUUAAGAACACCCAUCCAAAAGCCCAUAAUAUGUAUUAUAUUAAGUUAAAAUAAAAGUGUUCAUUCAGUAUUGUUGCAAUUGUAAUUGUUACAAA